rnacentral:rRNA from 1 species
GACGGAGGGUGCAAGCGUUGUUCGGAAUUACUGGGCGUAAAGCGUACGUAGGUGGCGGGUUAAGUCGAAUGUUAAAGCCUGGAGCUCAACUCCAGAGAUGCAUUCGAUACUGGCCUGCUAGAGGGUGAUAGAGGAAAGCGGAAUUCCGAGUGUAGCGGUGAAAUGCGUAGAUAUUCGGAGGAACACCAGUAGCGAAGGCGGCUUUCUGGGUCACACCUGACACUGAGGUACGAAAGCGUGGGGAGCAAAC